rnacentral:lncRNA from 10 species
AUGAUCUUGGCUCACUGCAACCUCUGCCUCCCCGGAUCAAGUGAUUCUCCUGCUUCAGCCUCCCAAGUAGCUGGGAUUACAGGUGCUGGCCACCAUGCCCGGCUAAUUUUUGUAUUCUUAGUAGAAACGGGGUUUCACCAUAUUGGCCAGGCUGGUCUCAAACUCCUGACCUCAAGUGAUCCACCUGCCCACCCAAAGUGCUGGGACUACAGGCAUGAGCCACCGCGCCCGGCAACCUCUUUUCUUUAU